rnacentral:rRNA from 1 species
GACGAACGCUGGCGGCGUGCUUAACACAUGCAAGUCGAACGGAAAGGCCCUGCUUGCAGGGUACUCGAGUGGCGAACGGGUGAGUAACACGUGGGUGAUCUGCCCUGCACUUCGGGAUAAGCCUGGGAAACUGGGUCUAAUACCGGAUAGGAGCCAUUUUUAGUGUGAUGGUUGGAAAGUUUUUUCGGUGUAGGAUGAGCUCGCGGCCUAUCAGCUUGUUGGUGGGGUAAUGGCCUACCAAGGCGGCGACGGGUAGCCGGCCUGAGAGGGUGGACGGCCACAUUGGGACUGAGAUACGGCCCAGACUCCUACGGGAGGCAUCAGUGGGGAAUAUUGCACAAUGGGCGCAAGCCUGAUGCAGCGACGCCGCGUGGGGGAUGACGGCCUUCGGGUUGUAAACUCCGUUCGCUAGGGACGAAGCUUUUUGUGACGGUACCUAGAUAAGAAGCACCGGCUAACUACGUG